UGCCGGCCGAGUGCAGCGGUGUUUACAACCAACCGUCAGUUACGGAUCUCUUUGUUCCUUCUCCACGCCAACGGCUUCACUCGACGAGCCUUAA
ensembl:misc_RNA Y_RNA Y RNA